rnacentral:rRNA from 1 species
UACGUAGGGGGCUAGCGUUGUCCGGAAUCAUUGGGCGUAAAGAGCGUGUAGGCGGUCCGGUAAGUCACCUGUGAAAUCUCCUGGCUCAACUGGGAGCUUGCAGGCGAAACUGCCGUGCUGGAGUGUGGGAGAGGUGCGUGGAAUUCCUGGUGUAGCGGUGAAAUGCGUAGAUAUCAGGAGGAACACCUGUGGCGAAAGCGGCGCACUGGACCACAACUGACGCUGAGGCGCGAAAGCUAGGGGAGCAAACAGG